rnacentral:rRNA from 1 species
CUACGGGGGGCUGCAGUGAGGGAUUUUGCGCAAUGGGGGGAACCCUGACGCAGCAACGCCGUGUGAGUGAAGAAGGCUUUUGGGUCGUAAAGCUCUGUUGACAGGGAAGAAGUUAUCAUAGAUUAAUAGUGUAUGGUAUUGACGGUACCUGUAGAGGAAGCAUCGGCUAACUCCGUGCCAGCAGCCGCGGUAAUACGGGGGAUGCAUGCGUUAUUCGGAAUUAUUGGGCGUAAAGGGCGUGUAGGCGGUUUUGUCAGUCAGAUGUGAAAUCCCGGGGCUCAACCUCGGAUGUGCAUUUGAAACAGCAAGACUUGAGUACGGUAGAGGAAAGCGGAAUUCCUGGUGUAGAGGUGAAAUUCGUAGAUAUCAGGAGGAAUAUCGGUGGCGAAGGCGGCUUUCUGGGCCGAUACUGACGCUGAUGCGCGAAGGCGUGGGUAGCGAACAGGAUUAGAUACCCGCGUAGUC